GGGGAAUUUUCCGCAAUGGGCGAAAGCCUGACGGAGCAAUACCGCGUGAGGGAGGAAGGCUCUUGGGUUGUAAACCUCUUUUCUCAGGGAAGAAAAAAAUGACGGUACCUGAGGAAUAAGCAUCGGCUAACUCCGUGCCAGCAGCCGCGGUAAUACGGAGGAUGCAAGCGUUAUCCGGAAUGAUUGGGCGUAAAGGGUCCGCAGGUGGCUAUGUAAGUCUGCUGUUAAAGAAUGAGGCUUAACCUCAUCAGAGCGGUGGAAACUACACAGCUAGAGUGCGUUCGGGGUAGAGGGAAUUCCUGGUGUAGCGGUGAAAUGCGUAGAUAUCAGGAAGAACACCAGUGGCGAAAGCGCUCUACUAGGCCGCAACUGACACUGAGGGACGAAAGCUAGGGGAGCGAAAGGGAUUAGAUACCCCCUGUAGU
rnacentral:rRNA from 1 species